rnacentral:rRNA from 1 species
AACGAACGCUGGCGGCAUGCCUUACACAUGCAAGUCGAACGAUUGCCUUCGUGUUUUCGUCGCGCGCCGGUUCGUAACCCGUUGGAAUCUGCCCUUUGGCUUGUCCUAUCAGCUGGAAAAGGCUGCUAAUACCCGGUUUUAUCCCGCGUUCAAAGUAUUAUCGCCUGAGGAUGAGCCUGAGUGGGAUUAGGAAGUUGUUGGGGUAAAGGUCUACCACUCCUACGAUACAUAGCUGGUCUGAGAGGAUGAUCAGCCACACUGGUCCUGAGACACGGCCCAGACUCCUACGGGAGGCAGCAGUGGGGAAUAUUGGAAAGUGGGCGCAAGCAUGAUCCAGCAAUGCCGCGUGAGUGAUGAAGGCCCGAGGGUUGUAAAGCGCUUUUACACGGGAAGAGAAUGACUGUACCGGGAGAAUAAGCCCCGGCUAACUACGUG